rnacentral:rRNA from 1 species
AAGGAUCAUUACCGAGUGUAGGGUUCCUAGCGAGCCCAACCUCCCACCCGUGUUUACUGUACCUUAGUUGCUUCGGCGGGCCCGCCAUUCAUGGCCGCCGGGGGCUCUCAGCCCCGGGCCCGCGCCCGCCGGAGACACCACGAACUCUGUCUGAUCUAGUGAAGUCUGAGUUGAUUGUAUCGCAAUCAGUUAAAACUUUCAACAAUGGAUCUCUUGGUUCCGGCAUCGAUGAAGAACGCAGCGAAAUGCGAUAACUAGUGUGAAUUGCAGAAUUCCGUGAAUCAUCGAGUCUUUGAACGCACAUUGCGCCCCCUGGUAUUCCGGGGGGCAUGCCUGUCCGAGCGUCAUUGCUGCCCAUCAAGCACGGCUUGUGUGUUGGGUCGUCGUCCCCUCUCCGGGGGGGACGGGCCCCAAAGGCAGCGGCGGCACCGCGUCCGAUCCUCGAGCGUAUGGGGCUUUGUCACCCGCUCUGUAGGCCCGGCCGGCGCUUGCCGAACGCAAAUCAAUCUUUUUCCAGGUUGACCUCGGAUCAGGUAGGGAUACCCGCUGAACUUAAGCAUAUCAAUAAGCGGAGGAAAAGAAACCAACCGGGAUUGCCUC